GACAAAGAAAAAUUUUCAUUCACGAUGCCUACUUAUAACAAUUCUCAGCCUAAUAAGAAAUAUCAAUGGAAGUUUCUCCCACAGGCAAUGUCAAAUAGCUCUACCCAGUGCCAAUAUGUUGUAUUACAGCCAUUGGAAAUAAUACAUAAGCAAUUUCUUCAAACUAUAGUAUACCAUUACACGAAUGACAUUUUAUUAUCUGACUCAAAUGUAGAUAAUUUAGAAAGAAUGUUUGAAGAAGUAGAGGAAAAUUCUGCCUUGGUGAAGAUUAAAAAUUGCUCCUGUGAAUACAAAGAGGAGAUUCUACUGAUUGUUUUGGCUGUAAAAUAGGUUUAGAAAAUUUGGAUGCCAAAAGGUGCAAAUUAGGAGAGAUCAAUUAUAGAUUAUUAAUGAUUGUCAAAGAUUCCUAGCAGAUGUUCCCCACUAUUGAGAUGAAAUGUGAUGAACUGAUUAAUUUAAACAAAAACUUAGAUGGUGACAAGGACUUAAAUAGUCCCAGGGAAUUAACAGCUGGAGCUGAGAGUAUCGGCAAUGGUGGAAGAGAAAUUACAGAUUGCACAUGUGGAUCCUGUGGAUCCAAAGCAUAACUACAUUGUAGUUAUAUUACCCUCUAAGCAUUUCCCUGCUGGAAAUUUAAUGUAGAAUUGAUCUUUGUAUGACAUAAAUUGAGUAAAAAAUUAAAACCUCAUGUGGAAAAGAUCUCUGAGUUGAUUCUAAGAUGAAAAUUGAGACUUCAGCAAUUAGAAGAAAUAUAUCCAGUUGAAAUUAUAGUAUAUAUUACUAAUGAUGAAAUUUUCAAAUUGUGGGUAGAAAAUGAAUUCUGGCAAACAGCUUGUAGUAAUUUUUGGGAGAGAUUAACAAUUAUUGGAAGGGAAUUCAACUUACAAAGAGAACUAACUGGAUCCUUCCUCACACUGUACAGGAAUAAUCCAAUAAUUGGAUGCAAAUAAAUCAGGAAAUGAAGUUUAUAAAUCAGAUAAUUUAAGCAAAGUGGAUCUAUGUCCUUAUAAUUCUGCACAGUAGUCAGAAUUGUAUGCUAUUCUCAUGAUGUUAAUGGAUCAUAAAGAACCUCUCAACAUAGUUACUGAUUCACAAUAUUCAGAAAGAGUUGUUUCACAUAUUGAAACUGCUGAAUUUAUACCAGAUGAUACAGAAUUGACUUUAUUAUGUAUUCAGUUACAAGAAAUAAUCAGGAACAGGAAUCAUCCCAUAAGUAAAACACAUUCUGAUCCUAUACAGGCUUGCCAGGCCCUCUAGCAUAAGGUAACAAUGAAAUAUAUCAACUAUUGAUAAGAAUAUGUGAAAGCCCUCAAAAUUUCAUAAAAAUACUAUUUCAAUAGUAAUAGUUUUGAUAAAAGAUUUUCCAUCACUAGGCAACAAGUCAAGGAUAUUAUAAGGAAAUAUUCUACUUGUUCUUUAUACAACCAAACUUCACUACCUGCAGGAAGUAACACAAAGGGUACACAAAGGAAUGAAAUCUGAAAGAUAUUCCAUUUUAUAGAAUUUGGAAAAUUAAAUUAUGUACACCAUACCACUGAUACCUAUCUAGGUUUUCAAUGGGCAACUGCUUUGAGUUCAGAAAAGGCUGAUUCUGUAAUUACAAAUUUGUUAGAAUUUAUGGCCAAAAUAAUAAAUAAGAUAUUUAUUUAUUUAUUAUCUGCAAAAAUAAAGAAGACAAUGCUCCAGCAUAAGUCUGUAAGAAAAUGAAAUAGUUUUUUGCUUAUUAUCAUAUAAAGCAUAUUACAGGUGUACCACCCAAUCCUACAGGGCAGGUAGUUAUCAAAUAGAACUCAGAAGGAUAUGCUAAAUCAACAGAAAGUGAUGUAAAGAACCCCAAAAUAGAUUGCUAGAUUGCAUAGUGCUGUGUUAAAAUUGAAUUUUCUGAAUGCUAAUGAGAAAGAAACAACUGUGGAGAGACAUUGUAUAAUAGAAAACAACUUCAGAAUUAAGUCAGCCCAUAUACUUCAAAGAUGUCUUGACCUCCAAAUGGAAAUGAGGACAUGUGUUAUGUUGGGAAAAAGGUUUUGCUUUUGUUUCCACAGGUGAAGAAAUAGUAUGGAUAUCAUCAAAAUUGAUAAAGAUUCUAUUUGAAAAAGACACCACUUCAUUAGAAGAGAUGAUAGUUUAUCAGGUAGCAUGGCUGUUAAACUAAACUAACCUAUAAAACUAAUAAAUGCUUUUCAUUUGAUCAGACAUAACUUGCCAAAAGAGAACCUCUCUAAAGUUUAGGGUUGGGGAAGGGUUUAUGUUUCUCAUUUCAGGAGAACAAAUGUAUCCAGAUGAGGAAUCUGGAGACCACUGGACAAAUGAGACAUCUGAAGAAAAAGGACAAAUCAUCCAGAAAAAUUGUCCCCCCAAAAGGAGUAAAUUGUUCUACUAGUAUAUCAUAUUUCCAAAAGGAUAAAUUUCAAAAUCUUCCCAAAUGAUUGUUUCUGCUUUUCUCUACAGUUCAAUUCAAGAUUGAUUUCAGGUUUGAAUUCCUAUCAGUUUUCUGCAGUCAAUCAUGACCACACCUAACUGUGACCUUUGAAGUCUCCAAAAGGAGUAUGGGGCCCCACACUGAAAAUUUUACCAGGACUAUGACAACAUCGUUAAGCUGAACUCCAACUAAUGAUCAGCUUUGGACUACAAAUUGUGCAGGAAAAUUUUGAGGAGGCAAGUAUAGAUGAUCUAGCCUCACAGAUACUGCUCUGAGCAGUUUUGAGAUAGCUGCCUGAGAUGAUCCAGCCUCAUAGACUACUCUAGCCAGGACUUGAAACAAGCCCUGUACUUUCACAUGAUGCAAAGUCUGAACAACAAAUGAUGCAGCUUGACAGUUAACCCAAUUUAUCUUUUCAUAAUCCCCUAAAGAUGCCAUUGCCCCCAGACAGCAGGAAGUAAAGGUAAGAACUUGAUGCCCACAUCUCCAAAAGAUGCAGUGAGUAGUUUUUUGUCAUUCAAUAGAUUUUGGAUGUUUGUCAUUCUUUAAGGGAAUUGCUUAUGAGUUGUUAUUGAUAAUUGCCAGGAUAAAGGUAAACAAAUGAGAUUAGAUUCAGGGUUCUUAUUUAAAGAAUUUAGAGUGUGUGUCUGGUCUUUAUUGCUGUUGGGUUGCUAGGAAUUUCCAAGUCCAUGCUCCCCCACUCAGGCCGGACCUUGUGGCUUCUGUGGUUUGGGACUGAGACAUGCCGGGCCACCACAAAAUGGCACCCAAUGUGGGGCCUCAGAACAGGGGAAGAAGCCAUGGACACCACAAAGAAAUGGACACCAAAGAAGUAAUGGACAGGGCAGAGGCAUGGACACUGCAAAGAGAUAGUCGUUGUGGGUGAACGGGUCGGAGAAAAAGCAUGCACAGAAGAAAGAAAAACUGGUGGAAUGUGGUGGAGAACGAGGCACUCUGGCUGCUGGAGCGAAUGGUGAGGUGCGUGGAGCAGAGAGGAAUCAGACCUGAGGCCUUGGGAGAUCAUCUGAACCAGCUGUAGUGAAACACUGAACCAGUGUUCCUGAACCUUGAGGACAUCCGACCUACGGCCGGAGGAGGAAAGGAGAUAGACACCCAGUUCCAGUUUCUCGAUGCUUUCCAGAGCUGCAGCUUCUCUACAGACAGACUACAUCCACCUCUCUGAAUCUGUGAGUGCUUAUCCUAGAGCUGACAAAGAACCAAACAACACACUGCUUGCUUUCUUGCCACACUAGACACACACAACUGUUGUCAGUUUUCCCAUUGGGAAAAAGGACUCAUUUAGGACAGUUGGAUACUGGUAUAAACCAGAGUGAGUGGCAGGAGCCCCUUCACAAUGCUUAAAUGAGAUAUGGACAAAGGACUUUUCAGUUACCAUUCAAAGAAAAUGUAUGAUAUUACAAACCUGAUUUCAGAACUUUACAGAUAACAAAACUUUGGGAUUUAAGCAAGAAAUAGAAAAUUUCAAAAGGCAUUGUGCUCCAGGCAGGGAAUAAAAGAAAAAGGUUUAGAAUUGUGAAAUUGUUCACACCCCACAGAUCAUGAAAACAUUGUCCUUUGAUUGUAUUGUAACUCACAAUAAUGCAUGUUAAUAAUGAAAUUUUAAUGCCUGUAACCUUGCUAUAUAUAUUAUGCAAAUGGUAUUAGAAAUAAGAAGUCAGAGUUCAUUCUAACAAGAAUGUAACAUGUGAUUUACAAGCCUUAGGAUAGAAGUAUGCUUAAGAGAGCAAACUUAAGUCAUGUCUGUACAGAGGCACUGGAGACAUUCCUACACAGGUUUUAAAAGGCCAUUUUAACCUUUAUAUCUCUCCUUCUUUCAGGAGAAGGUUUGCAGCCGCUGAUUCAGGAACAUUUGGAGCUGGACCAUGACCCAUUCUCCAUUUACCCUCUUUUUACAGAGACUGAUUCCAGCCAGAGACAGGUUCUUUUCAUGUCUGCUUGUGGCAGCACCAAUCUACUUCAGAGAAGAUGAUGGGCAUCAAAGGAGCUGCAGAGAAGAUGAUAGGCACCAAAGAAACUCCACAUGCAGUUUAAUUUAUUUGUGGCAAAGAAAAUAACACAGCAGGAGCCAGGCAUCUGGUCUUCUUCAGACAAGAUUGAAGCAGAGCUGGAAGAUGGGAGGCCCUGAAGGCAAUCCCCUGACCACUGGGGCUGUAUUGAUGUCUUUUGGGUGAACCAGAUGUUUCAGCUUGAUGUUCUGAAAAAUAGUGGUCAGGAAUAGCAACAACUCCAUGCAGGCCAGACCCUUUCCUGCACCCAGUGGGGAAAAAGAGACAAAUAAGGAAACCAUGUCUUGUACAUAAGGAAGAAGUCUCAUCAUCAAGUACAGUGCAUGGACACUGGGAAACAUGCAUGUCUACCAGUCCCUUGGGAGACACUGUGUAAUUCCUCACAGAUCUUCAUGUCACAGAAGCCAAUGGAGAUGAAUUUCUAUUACCUAUUGAGAAGGGUAUAAAGUAGUCACUUUUCUAGAAGGUGACCAGCGUCAAACAUCUCUGGAUUGGGGAAUUCCUUUUUGUCAUGCAGCACUGCUGACAGUGAUGUUAAAAUGGUUGUUACCUGAAAAAAAAAAAACCAAAAAAGCAGAGACACUAAGUUACAAAGAAAUAUGGAACCAAACAAAUAGAGAUAACAACACAUUUCAACUUUUGCUCCAAAAAAGGGGUUAAGUACAAAGAAGGGCAGGGACAUUUCAACACACAAGGCAGAUAAGGGGCAGGAAGGAGUCUGAGACCAGUUACAGUGAUGCUGCUAAGGUGCCUCCCAGUGACAUUUGAAGUCAGCACUUAGGUGUGUGGUGCUAAGUCUUCUGUGUUUGUUCUUUUCUUCAUAUUUGAACAUGUAUGUCUUACUACCUGCUGUUCUAAAAUUCAUUAAUGUGGUUUUCAUAAAUCACAUGGAUUAUGAUUCCAAAUGAAGAACUGAGUUGUAUGUAAAUAUGUAGAAAGAAAGUAUUAUUAUUUUCUCUUUGGAUUUGAUCCAGGCAUAGAUGAGGUGUUGUAUGUCUUAGAAGGAUGAGUCCACUCUCAUAUAUUGAAUUUAUAUAAACACACACACACAGAGAGAGAGAGAGAGAGAGAGAGAGAGAGAGAGAGAGAGAGAGAGAGAGAGAGAGAGAGAGAGAGAGAGAUUGAUGAACAUGUACAAGGCAAAUGGACACAUUUUUAAAGUAAGGGGACUAAUGGAAUGGAGUUGGAAGGAGGAGACAUUAAAUUAAAUAUUCCAUGAUGAUCAUUCCUAUGUGUAACAGCUAAAUAAAAAUGGCUCUGGAGAUGCGUGUAAAUGGUUAAGGAGGUUGCUCAUAGCUUUUUUCAAAUAAUAAAAAAAAACCCUACCUUUUAUCAUUUCAAAAUUUCUGAAGGAACAGCAUGUGCUCUACAAAGCUUUCACAAGACUGUAUCCUGUAUUAGCAUAUCAACUGAAGUAAACAUGUUGAAAAUUUAAAACUAAAGUGGUUAGUAUUUGAAAGUCCAAUGGUAGUCUCAAUAAUUUUUGAAAAUAGCCAUUCUCAUUUGUAUACAUAUAUUCUAUGACUGCUUCUUGCUACAAUGGCCAAGUCAUAAUAAAGACACAAUCAUCAUUGAUUAAAAACUCUGAAGCAUUGUCCACCAAUCAAAUAGUAGGCAAAGACGAUAAAAUAUUGACUUUCCAUGUAUCUUAAUGUAUAUUAAUACCAUGUAUAUUAAUACCAGUGACUUCAUCUGGUAAAGAAGUUACUUACCUUAUUUCUAAGGGUAUAGAGUAAACCAUGGAUUUAUAAUUAUUUUUGUGUCAGGCAAUCCCAGGAAGGGAAAGAAUACUGUUCUGUCCACAAGGCCCAAAGAACAUUCUCACCAUUACAUACCAGCAGAGAGAAGCAAGGCUAUGAGGGCAGCAGAUACAGCACUUGUCCCAGAGCAAAACUCUAAUUCUUAUAAGGGAAUCUGAAACACAGGUCAUUCCUGUCUCUUUCUUUAGCUUAUUUAGAUUUUGUUAUGUCUAAGGAUAUGCAUUAAGUAUUGUUAUACUAUAAUAAGACUCACAAAUCAUAUCUCUGGAGAGUCUUUUGGACACAUAUUAAUCUAAUAAAAACAGUUUCCAAAUCUUUAAAGACAUCAGACUCAACAUGGAAGUAUUUAACUUAAUACUAAUCAGAAAUAAAAUGAGUACGCAAAUUAGAGAAGUCGGAGCUAUUCAUCUAGCCAUCUUUCUCACAGUAUUUAUGUCAAUUUCAUGCAUUCUGUGGGAGAGUUUCAUGCAUCCAUAGCCUAAUUCACUAAUCUCAGUUUCUGUGUUCCUUUCUAUUUUCUGAUUGGACCCAAAUUUGUAGUAGCCUGAUACCCUUUUUACAAAUAUUUGAUUUUUGAGAACAUGAAAAUUAAAAAAAAUUCUGUUUAAA